rnacentral:tRNA from 1 species
GGGUCCUUAGCUCAGCGGUUUAGAGCGCUCGCCUCACACGCGAGAGGUCGCAGGUUCGAAUCCCGCAGGACCCA